rnacentral:rRNA from 1 species
GACGAACGCUGGCGGCGUGCUUAACACAUGCAAGUCGAACGGAAAGGCCCUGCUUUUGUGGGGUGCUCGAGUGGCGAACGGGUGAGUAACACGUGAGUAACCUGCCCUUGACUUUGGGAUAACUUCAGGAAACUGGGGCUAAUACCGGAUAGGAGCUCCUGCUGCAUGGUGGGGGUUGGAAAGUUUCGGCGGUUGGGGAUGGACUCGCGGCUUAUCAGCUUGUUGGUGGGGUAGUGGCUUACCAAGGCUUUGACGGGUAGCCGGCCUGAGAGGGUGACCGGCCACAUUGGGACUGAGAUACGGCCCAGACUCCUACGGGAGGCAGCAGUGGGGAAUAUUGCACAAUGGGCGGAAGCCUGAUGCAGCAACGCCGCGUGCGGGAUGACGGCCUUCGGGUUGUAAACCGCUUUCGCCUGUGACGAAGCGUGAGUGACGGUAAUGGGUAGAGAAGCACCGGCUAACUACGUGCCAGCAGCCGCGGUGAUACGUAGGGUGCGAGCGUUGUCCGGAUUUAUUGGGCGUAAGGGGCUCGUAGGUGGUUGAUCGCGUCGGAAGUGUAAUCUUGGGGCUUAACCCUGAGCGUGCUUUCGAUACGGGUUGACUUGAGGAAGGUAGGGGAGAAUGGAAUUCCUGGUGGAGCGGUGGAAUGCGCAGAUAUCAGGAGGAACACCAGUGGCGAAGGCGGUUCUCUGGGCCUUUCCUGACGCUGAGGAGCGAAAGCGUGGGGAGCGAACAGGCUUAGAUACCCUGGUAGUCCACGCUGUAAACGGUGGGUACUAGGUGUGGGGUCCAUUCCACGGGUUCCGUGCCGUAGCUAACGCUUUAAGUACCCCGCCUGGGGAGUACGGCCGCAAGGCUAAAACUCAAAGGAAUUGACGGGGCCCCGCACAAGCGGCGGAGCAUGCGGAUUAAUUCGAUGCAACGCGUAGAACCUUACCUGGGUUUGACAUGGAUCGGGAGCGCUCAGAGAUGGGUGUGCCUCUUUUGGGGUCGGUUCACAGGUGGUGCAUGGCUGUCGUCAGCUCGUGUCGUGAGAUGUUGGGUUAAGUCCCGCAACGAGCGCAACCCUUGUUCACUGUUGCCAGCACGUUAUGGUGGGGACUCAGUGGAGACCGCCGGGGUCAACUCGGAGGAAGGUGGGGAUGAUGUCAAGUCAUCAUGCCCCUUAUGUCCAGGGCUUCACGCAUGCUACAAUGGCUGGUACAGAGAGUGGCGAGCCUGUGAGGGUGAGCGAAUCUCGGAAAGCCGGUCUCAGUUCGGAUUGGGGUCUGCAACUCGACCUCAUGAAGUCGGAGUCGCUAGUAAUCGCAGAUCAGCAACGCUGCGGUGAAUACGUUCCCGGG